UGGGGAAUUUUGGACAAUGGGCGCAAGCCUGAUCCAGCCAUGCCGCGUGAGUGAAGAAGGCCUUCGGGUUGUAAAGCUCUUUCGGCCGGGAAGAAAUCGCAUUGGUUAAUACCUAGUGUGGAUGACGGUACCGGAAUAAGAAGCACCGGCUAACUACGUGCCAGCAGCCGCGGUAAUACGUAGGGUGCGAGCGUUAAUCGGAAUUACUGGGCGUAAAGCGUGCGCAGGCGGUUUGAUAAGACAGGCGUGAAAUCCCCGGGCUCAACCUGGGAACUGCGUUUGUGACUGUCUCACUAGAGUACGGCAGAGGGGGGUGGAAUUCCACGUGUAGCAGUGAAAUGCGUAGAGAUGUGGAGGAACACCAAUGGCGAAGGCAGCCCCCUGGGUCGAUACUGACGCUCAUGCACGAAAGCGUGGGUAGCAAACA
rnacentral:rRNA from 1 species